rnacentral:rRNA from 1 species
GGCGGCGCGCUUAACACAUGCAAGUCGAGCGGAUCUGUAGCAAUACAGGUCAGCGGCGGACGGGUGCGUAACACGUGGGUAAUCUGCCCUGGAGAGUGGGAUAACUCGCCGAAAGGCGAGCUAAUACCGCAUAAGCCCACGGAGUCUUCGGACUCUGAGGGAAAAGGUCGCAAGACGCUUCAGGAUGAGCCCGCGGCCCAUCAGCUAGUUGGCGGGGUAACGGCCCACCAAGGCAACGACGGGUAUCUGGUCUGAGAGGACGGCCAGACACACUGGAACUGAGACACGGUCCAGACUCCUACGGGAGGCAGCAGUGGGGAAUCUUGCGCAAUGGGCGAAAGCCUGACGCAGCGACGCCGCGUGUGCGAUGAAGGUCUUCGGAUCGUAAAGCACUGUCGCGAGGGAAGAAACCUGACGGUACCUCGAGAGGAAGCACCGGCUAACUCUGUGCCAGCAGCCGCGGUAAUACAGAGGGUGCGAGCGUUGUUCGGAAUUAUUGGGCGUAAAGCGCUGGUAGGUGGCUCGACAAGUCGCGUGUGAAAUCU